AAGCUCGUAGUUGAAUUUCGGCGCGCGCUUGGGCUGGUCGGCCGUCAAGGUCUGUACCGUUCAGGUCACGCCCCACUGUAGGAUACUCACCGCUGUCCUUAACUGGGUGGCGGUAAAAGGUGUAGUCUAUGGGGGGCAACCUCUGUAGGUUAUUGCUGGGGUUCCUACUCUUUUACUUUGAGCAAAUUAGAGUGUUCAAAGCAGGCAAUCGGGCCUUGAAUACUUCAGCAUGGGAUAAUGGAACAGGACUGGGGUCCUGAUUUGUUGGUUUCUAGAU
rnacentral:rRNA from 1 species